GAUGAACGCUGGCGGCGUGCCUAAUACAUGCAAGUCGAGCGAAUGGAUUAAGAGCUUGCUCUUAUGAAGUUAGCGGCGGACGGGUGAGUAACACGUGGGUAACCUGCCCAUAAGACUGGGAUAACUCCGGGAAACCGGGGCUAAUACCGGAUAACAUUUUGAACCGCAUGGUUCGAAAUUGAAAGGCGGCUUCGGCUGUCACUUAUGGAUGGCCCCGCGUCGCAUUAGCUAGUUGGCGAGGUACCGGCUCACCAAGGCAACGCUGCGUAGCCGAACUGAGAGGGUGAUCGGCCACACUGGGACUGAGACACGGCCCAGGCUCCUACGGGAGGCAGCAGUAGGGAAUCUUCCGCAGUGGACGAAAGUCUGACGGAGCAACGCCGCGUGAGUGAUGAAGGCUUUCGGGUCGUAAAACUCUGUUGUUAGGGAAGAACAAGUGCUAGUUGAAUAAGCUGGCACCUUGACGGUACCUAACCAGAAAGCCACGGCUAACUACGUGCCAGCCGCCGCAGUAAAAC
rnacentral:rRNA from 1 species